CAUUGAAACACCAGUUCCCAUACGAUCACCAAGCUUAAGCAACGUUGAGCUUGGUCAGUACGUAGAUGGGUGACCGCUUGGGAAUAGGAGGUGCUGUAAG